GAUGAACGCUAGCGGCGUGCCUAACACAUGCAAGUCGAGCGAUUUACUUCGGUAAAGAGCGGCGGACGGGUGAGUAACGCGUGGGUAACCUGCCCUGUACACACGGAUAACAUACCGAAAGGUAUGCUAAUACGAGAUAAUAUGCUUUUAUCGCAUGGUAGAAGUAUCAAAGCUUUUGCGGUACAGGAUGGACCCGCGUCUGAUUAGCUAGUUGGUAAGGUAACGGCUUACCAAGGCGACGAUCAGUAGCCGACCUGAGGGGGUGAGCGGCCCGAUUGGAACUGGGACACGGUCCAAACUCCUACGGGAGGCAGAAGUGAGGAAUAUUGCAAAAUGGGCGAAAGCCUGAUGCAGCAACGCCGCGUGAGCGAUGAAGGCCUUCGGGUCGUAAAGCUCUGUCCUCAAGGAAGAUAAUGACGGUACUUGAGGAGGAAGCCCCGGCUAACUACGUGCCAGCAGCCGCCGUAA
rnacentral:rRNA from 1 species